CCAAGGAGUCUAACAUGUGCGCGAGUCGUCGAGUCUAAUCGAAACUCGUGAGGCGCAAUGAAAGUAAAGUUUUUGCCCUGAUGAAGGUGCAACAAGGGGAGAUCUCGUCUUUUUUUCAAACCGAAGCGAGCGCAUCCCCAGGGCGUUCGAAGCCGCGACAUUUAGUCGGCCGAACGAACCUAGAGCGUACACGUUGGGACCCGAAAGAUGGUGACCUAUGCCUGGCCAGGACGAAGCCAGGGGAAACCCUGGUGGAGGUCCGCAGCGAUUCUGACGUGCAAAUCGAUCGUCGGAGUUGGGUAUAGGGGCGAAAGACUAAUCGAACCAUCUAGUAGCUGGUUCCCCCCGAAGUUUCCCUCAGGAUAGCUGGUGCUCGCAGAGAUAACAAACGGAGUUUCAUCCGGUAAAGCGAAUGAUUAGAGGCCUUGGGGUCGAAACGACCUCAACCUAUUCUCAAACUUUCAAUGGGUGAGAAGCCCGGCCUUUUACUUGAUUGAGGCCGUCGGCAUAAACUUGAAUCUGAGCGCCCAGUGGGCCAUUUUUGGUAAGCAGAACUGGCGCUGUGGGAUGAACCAAACGCCCGGUUAAGGCGCCUAAACGACGCACAUUUCGGAUCCCACGAAAAGGAGUUGGUUGCUAAAGACAGCAGGACGGUGGCCAUGGAGGUCGGAAUCCGCUCAGGAGUGUGUAACAACUCACCUGCCGAAGCAACUAGCCCUUAAAAUGGGAGGCGCUAUAGCGUCGUGCCUAUACCGGGCCGUCGGUCGGCAGUGAAUAUUCGUACUCUUCCCAUAGCGGGAUAAAAUGAGACGCUUAGGCCCCGACGAGUAGGGGGGUCGCGACGGUGUGCGUUGAAGGGUACUGGGCGUGAGCCUGCCUGGAGCCGCCGUCGGUGCAGAUCUUGGUGGUAGUAGCAAAUACUCCAGAGG
rnacentral:rRNA from 1 species